UGGCUUACGGCCAACAGUUACCUGCAAUACCAUACAUGAUAUGAAUUAGGCUUAUAACCCCAUUAAGAGAGAUUGAUGUGAUGUUAUGUUUUUGCUGACAGGUUCUAGCAAAAGGAAUUCAUGGAAGCUUCAAACGAGAAAUUUCCACUAGAUAGGAAGGAAUAUGAUGUACACUGAGGAAUUUUUUUAUGAAAAAUUAUUCACAGGAUACACAUUUUUCACAUUUUAACUCAAAUCCUGAAACAGUUGCUAGAUGAUGUUACUCCAUCAAUGCUACUUGUCAAGUACUGGCAUAAGAGGUGACUCGUACAAUAGUUAAAGCUUUCACUUUAAGGCUUUUCACUCUGAUUGUCAUCAUUCAAGUGAUAAUUCUUCAUUCUUAUAUACAUUUCAAAAGACAUACAAGUUGAAAUUACUGUUUUUAAAAUCUGCCUUCCUAUGUAAGUUAUUCACCAUGGUUUCCUUCUGGUGGUCAUUUUUUGUUUGAAUACGAACGUUACUCUUACUAGCAUACAAAUUCAAGUACCUUUUUUAUGAAAGCAACAUUUCCCAGAAUAAGAAUGUGAAGGUGAAAAGAACUAAAUUUGCAUCCCAUUUUGCUGCUGCUUUCAAUUCAUCGUGCACCAACUCUUUAUUUUCUCUUUCAAUUUUUACAUUUCCAUCAUUUAUUUCCUUUUAGAAACAUAAGGGAGACAAAUCUUUAGGCAUUAAUUUCUAUCAGCAUCUAUGAA
rnacentral:misc_RNA from 1 species